CGAUCUGGCUCAGGAUGAACGCUAGCGACAGGCUUAACACAUGCAAGUCGAGGGGCAGCAUAGAAGUAGCAAUACUUGGUGGCGACCGGCGCACGGGUGAGUAACGCGUAUGCAACCUACCUAUCAGAGGGGAAUAACCCGGCGAAAGUCGGACUAAUACCGCAUAAAACAGGGGCACCGCAUGGUGAUAUUUGUUAAAGAAAUUCGCUGAUAGAUGGGCAUGCGUUCCAUUAGGUAGUUGGUGAGGUAACGGCUCACCAAGCCGACGAUGGAUAGGGGAACUGAGAGGUUGGUCCCCCACACUGGUACUGAGACACGGACCAGACUCCUACGGGAGGCAGCAGUGAGGAAUAUUGGUCAAUGGGCGGGAGCCUGAACCAGCCAAGUCGCGUGAAAGGAAGAAGGAUCUAUGGUUCGUAAACUUCUUUUGCAGGGGAAUAAAGUGCAGGACGUGUCCUGUUUUGUAUGUACCCUGAGAAUAAGGAUCGGCUAACUCCGUGCCAGCAGCCGC
rnacentral:rRNA from 1 species